rnacentral:ncRNA from 2 species
AGUUAAUCUAGAGUGAUGGGGAGAGAAUUGGCUCAAUGAUCCAUCCAGCAUCCGAUCCAAAAGACACGGUGCUACACCCAACCUUGUAAGAGGAAGGAUUUGUU